rnacentral:rRNA from 1 species
UACAGAGGGUGCAAGCGUUAAUCGGAAUUACUGGGCGUAAAGCGUGCGUAGACGGUUAUGUAAGUCAGGUGUGAAAGCCCCGGGCUCAACCUGGGAAUGGCAUUUGAGACUGCAUAGCUAGGGUGCGGAAGAGGGAAGCGGAAUUUCCGGUGUAGCGGUGAAAUGCGUAGAUAUCGGGAGGAACACCAAUGGCGAAGGCAGCUCGCUGGGACGGUACUGACGCUGAGACGCGAAAGCGUGGGGAGCAAACAGG